rnacentral:rRNA from 1 species
GACGAACCAUGCAAACGUUUAUUCGGAUUCACUGGGCUUAAAGCGUGCGUAGGCGGUCUUGUUAGUCAGGUGUGAAAGCCCUCAGCCUAACUGAGGAAUUGCGCUUGAUACUGCAUGACUAGAGAAUGAUAGAGGUGGGUGGAACUGAUGGUGGAGCGGUGAAAUGCGUUGAUAUCAUCAGGAACACCAGUGGCGAAGGCGACCCACUGGGUCAUUUCUGACGCUGAGGUACGAAAGCUAGGGUAGCGAACGGG